rnacentral:rRNA from 1 species
GCAUAAUUGAGAGCAGCCAGCUGAGGUAAUCAAAAGGGUGCAAGGGUUGUUCGGGAGCACCGGGCGUAAAGCUAGCGUAGGGGGACUUACAGGUCAAUUGUGAAAUACCUGGGCUCAACCCAGGAACUGCAGUUGAAACCGUUUGUCUUGAAUAUCUGGGAGGGUGGGGGAAUACCUGGUGGAGAAGUGAAAUUCGUAGAGAUCAGGUGGAACACCGGAGGCGAAGGCGCCUGCCUGGCAGUAUAUUGACGCUGAGGUGCGAAAGUGCGGGGAGCAAACAGGAUUAGAUACCCGAGUAGC